rnacentral:rRNA from 1 species
UACGUAGGGCGCAAGCGUUGUCCGGAAUUAUUGGGCGUAAAGCGCUCGUAGGCGGCCUGUUGCGUCCGCUGUGAAAUCCCGGGGCUCAACCCCGGGCCUGCAGUGGAUACGGGCUGGCUAGAGGCAGGCAGGGGAGAACGGAAUUCCUGGUGUAGCGGUGAAAUGCGCAGAUAUCAGGAGGAACACCGGUGGCGAAGGCGGUUCUCUUGGCCUGUACUGACGCUGAGGAGCGAAAGCCAGGGGAGCAAACGGG